rnacentral:misc_RNA from 1 species
AUUUUCAUAGAAACAGGUCGCACGUGCCGGAAUACGGACAUAAGUGUAAUAUUUGGAUCUAGCUUCAAUAAUAUGAAAAACGAUGUUCUUGAUUAUGUAUAAAUUGGUGAUAGCGGCUUUGCUAGCGGAGUGUUACUCGCAAGACUGGUACCCUGAGAAUGAUGGAUGCACCCCAGUUAUUGAUGACACGACUGAUCGUACCGAGUGCUUACACACUGUAUAUUGUACUAAUCUAGUUAGCUUUAGGAUGACCCGUCACGACGAAUGCAGCAAUUUUGUUCAUAGCGAUCUACAUCGUAGCUAUUUGGAUCCCAUUCACGUAUUGUUUCAAUGCAAUGACAAAGAUGAAGCUGUCCCGAAAACUUCUAAUUAUGAAAGUUAUGUUAUAUACUCAAUAGAUCUAAGUACGAAUAUGUAUACAGCUGUUCCUACUAUACGUUCGUUGCCCAAUUUGGCUAUAUUAAAAAUAACGGGAUCUUUGCUGUCGAAAGCGAAACUUUCAAAUGAAAAUGAUCUGCCAAAUCUUGUAGCUAUAGACUAUUCAGAAAACAUCAUAACUAGUUUUGAAGUGGUUUCUGGUGAACACGAAUUCAAAUCACUGAGGAAACUGAACUUAUCACAUAAUAAAUUAUAUAAUAUCCAAGACGGCACAUUCGAUUUAUUUCCAAAUAUAGAAUCGUUGGAUCUAUCGCACAAUUGUUUUGACGCAAUUGAUAUCAUGUUCUCUGAAGGUAUAAAAAAGCUUUUACAUUUAAAUAUUUCUAAUAACAGAAUCAUUUACUUAGAUUCUUCAUUACAAAGGCUGCGAUAUUUAGUUACAUUAGACCUUAGUUAUAAUCUUAUAGAAACAUUAACAACAAAAGAUUUCGCCAAAUUAGUAAAAUUAGAGGAAAUUAAGCUUGAAUCUAAUAAAAUUCAGACUAUAGAAAAACAUGUGUUUGAUAAUAAGCCGUCAUUAACUACAAUCGAUUUACAACAAAACGCUUUAGAUUAUAUUGAUCCAGACAUUUUUUUCAACGUCACCAUGUUAACGGGUAUUUAUCUUUCCAAUAAUAAGUUAAAAACUUUUCCAAAAAAUGUAUUUAAAGGUAAAACUGUAUUUUACUUCACAAUCGAAGGCAACCAACUAGAGGGGCCCCUAGAAAGAGGGUUGUUUGAAGGACUUGGCAUGGUUAGAGAAUUGGAUUUAAGUGGCCAGCAUCUAACUUCUAUAGAAAAUUACGCCUUUUCUGGGCUUCAACAUUUAGAAACCUUGUUGUUGAACCACAAUGACGUGGACAUAGUAAGAAAUUAUUCAUUUAAAGGUCUACAACAUUUGAAUACUUUAGAUUUAUCUUAUAAUAAAAUUGACAAACUCGACAUUGUUAGUGAGGAUCUGAUUAGUUUGCAAGUAUUAAAAUUACAUCACAAUAAUAUAGCACACAUCUCAAGUAACAAUUUUAUUUCAUUAGGAUCUUUGCAGUUACUAGAUUUAUCUCAUAAUAAUAUAUCGCACUUGGGAUCUAAUUAUUUUCGAUCUUUACAAAGUUUAAGGGAUUUCAAAAUCUCAGACAAUCCAUUUUGUGGGUCGAUAGUGGAGAAAACGUUUGACGGGUUAAGCUCUUUACCAAGUCUUGAUAUUUCCGGGACUGUAAUAACUGCAGUAAAUAAUGGUUCUUUUAUAGGUAUGACACAAUUAAGAGAGUUAAAUAUUUCAAAUAGCAACAUAACUGACCUCCAAUACAAUUCACUGUCCUACAUUGGAAAACUUCUAAUAAUAGAUCUUUCAAAUAACCAACUGUCUGUAUUCGAUGUUAAUACAACUGACUUAAUAAAUCUUGACACGUUGCUGUUGAAUAAUAACGUGUUACAAGUAAUUUCACAAACAGCUUUUACAGGACUGAGUCGAUUAAAAACGAUUGAUUUAUCGCAUAACAAAAUUCAUAUCAUUAACGGAGAAACUUUUUCAAAAGAUAUUCAAAAUUUAGAUCUGUCUUAUAAUCCUGAAUUAGAAUUUGAUGUAUCUUUAGUCAAAAAAUCCGUAAAUUUAGCAAAACUUUUUAUUUCGAGAACAAAAGCAGUUUCAAUAUCACUUACAUUUGAAGAUUUAAAGGGCAUGCUUCUGAACACAUUAGAAAUGACUCAUUUGAACAUUCAGGACAUAAGUAGUUUAAAGUUAUUUAAUCUGCAACGUUUGGAGACGUUAAUAUUGAGUAAUAAUGCUGUUUCUAAGCUCAAUGUCGGUGCUUUGUCUAAUUUGACGUUCUUGGUACAGUUGGACCUAAGUUAUAAUAACUUAAAUUACAUUCAGCCUGGGAGUUUUAAGGACAACACCUAUUUAAAAGUAUUAAAUAUCUCUCACAAUAAAUUACUGGAAAUUAGUCACGGCAUAUUCCAGGGUCUUUUGAACGUGGAAAUUAUAGACUUAUCGUUUAACAAGAUUAAAGAUUUACACCGAUCUAGAUUAUACGAUGUUGAGCACUUAAAAAGUCUUAUAGUUGAUAACAAUGAAAUUGAGUUUAUUUCCGAAGAUGAGUUCUUAGGGACUAAAUUAGCUAAACUCAGCAUAGGCGGUAAUCCAAUACCAUGCAAGAUUUUGUAUGAAAUCAAAAGAAAAAGCAUACAUAUCAGUAUCACUGCCAUGAAUAUUGACAAAACAAAAGACAAUUUAAAAGGGGUUACAUGUAAUAAAGACGGUUAUAAUUUUGAUUCAAAUAUGGCACCAGAAACGUUUGAGCAUAAUAAAUUGCUAUUUGACAUAAGAAAUAUCUUGUUUAACGUAUCAAGACGAAACAUUUUCAAAGAACCUAUUGAAAAUAAAUAUACAGAUUUUUCACAUUUAGAAAAUAUAACAAACCUAGAACAAAAAAUGAAUGAGCACAGUUUAGAAGUGAUACAUUCCAUUAAAAACUUAUCUUCUAUUAGUAAUCUGACCUCGAUUAUUAAUAGUAAUACGAAUAUACUAUUAGGGAAAAUACUGCAGGUAUUGAUGGCAAAAGAACUCGUGACAACAAGCAAACCCACGAUUGUCAUCAAAGAUAAUGCUACAUCAGGUCUCAUUUCCUACAUUAAUAAAAUCAAGCAAGACUUGGAAGACACUUUAGCUGUUGAAAGACAAAAUGCUUUGCUGUUAGAUGAUAAAAUUAAAAAGCUAAAUUCAAAAAUAGAUUUUACAGUAACAACGAAGAUUCCUAUGCAAGAAAAAUUACUUAAAAUCAAAGAUGAAGAGAAGCCAAAAUCGAAUAUUUUUACUGAGGUCUGCGUGGGUUUGAUUUUGGUAAUACUGGUUUGUUUUAUUUUGUACAAAAUAUACAAAUCUGAAUUUUAUUUGUCUAGAGUUCGGUCACGCACUAGUACGAGUAGUAGACGAAAUAUAGCAGAAUCUAUGGAAAGUGCACAAUUAUAAAUCUGUACCGCUUUUAUGUUUUGCAUUUGGGAUAUUACUUUAUUUACGCCAGUAAAAUUAGUUGUAAGUGUAGAUUAUAAAUAAAAAAAAAAAAAAUAUAUACCUACAUUUAAAUAUAUCAAAUAUAUAUUUAUCAAAUAUUUUAAAAAAUAGUACGUAAAUAAGUUAAGAGCAUGUACAUAAACAUAAUUUUAUUAAAAAUACGAGUAAGUAUUGCACAUUUACAUUACAUUCAACAAAUACUUAAAAUUAGCGAUGGUUUACAAUUGCCCGAACUAGGAUACCCUGUGUUUCAGGCGAAAUACAAUAUAUAUUAUAUUUUAUUAAUGUAAGUACUUAAGUCUAGUAUCUUUAUUGUACUAACACUUAUUAAGAAUAACAUACAGUUUACAGUUAAGUGAAGUAGCAAAGCG